AGAGCCGAGGUUGCCUACCCCUGGCCCAGAAGACUUAAUGGGGAACGAUGGCCCUUUGAUGACUUGUGGACUUCAACUCCCAGAAUUCCAGAGCCAGCAAAAAAAACGAGCUCCUUGUCAUUAAAGCCCACUUGUUCUUAUCCCAUCUUCUGCAACCACUCUGAACAAGUCUGCCUCACCUUCGGCAUGUCCUUCAGACACUUGAAGACAGCCGCCUUGGCUCCCUGCAGCCUUCCUGAGGGUGACUAUAUCUGGCUCAGGAAUUCUGGGAGUUGAAGUCCACAAGUCAUAAAGGGGGGCAUCGUUCUGACUUAACGCACGCCAGAGGGCGGGGUUUAGGCUGGCGGGGGGGGGGCGCCCCGGUUACCUGAAGAGGACUUGCAGGCUGUGUGUCUCCUCGGGGAUCGCGGAACAGCUUUCAGGGCAGGAUUUGGGGAGAGGGGAUCUUGGGAGGGCGGCCGGACGGACCAGCACCGUCAUUUUCUCUCUCUAUGGAGGCGUCUGUCUCAUCUUGGCGCGGUCCGCGAUUCUCUUCCUUUGCUCUAGACGCUGCAACCGAUUUGUCAGGGCGCUGACGGUCCUCUGCUCAGAAAGAAGAAAAGGGCUCCCUUGCUUUAACUGACUUGGAUGAAGCCCUCCCAACACGUUGCGAAUCUUAUCUAGCGCGUUGCCGAAGAGUGCUGGAGUAGCACUAGGGAGGUCAAGAUCAACCUUGAAAGACAAAACUCUUGGAGCGCCUUUGGAAAACCGACUACCGGCAUCUCUGCAAUCUAAGGAUAUUUGUAGGUGGAGACAUGGAUUGUAGGAGCACAGCUGCGGGUUUGAGAAAGAAAAAGUUUCUGCAAUUGCUGUUUUACGGUCAUAUCAAAUGAGUUUAACAAACUGCUGGAUGCGGAUUAUUAGUUCCUACGGGAUAUGUUUAACUGGCUGCAGAGCAAAAGGAAAUUAGAAAUAAACUGCUGCGUGAGGCCGAAUGUUUCAAGAAAUAUCCAGAGAUACUGGAUGCUUGCAGACUUUUUUUGUACUGUAGAUCUACUUCAAGUUUCAUAUAAUACUUUACUCUUUUCUUUUUCCUCCUUCCCUCCCUCCCUCAGUUCACAUACACUAUAGGACAGAAAAGAUAAGCCAAGUCCAUGAUGUAGUGGCAUCAAAGCAAGCCCGAUAAACCACUGAUCUUUAGCUGAAUACUGCUGGAAAGCCAAGACGAUACCAAUCCUUCUACUGAGAGGUAAACAACGCUGUCAGCUCCUGAAAAGAAGAAGAACAUAUCACCGAAGCUGUACUAUUUUACACUGUCUAAAUUGCUUAACUCAAAGAUUUUCUAUAGAUGGAUCUUUAAUAAAAUAUAGUAACUGUUAAUUGCACCACUGGAACUACUGACUUUACAUAUAGGGUAAAUUUGUACAUGUACAAUAUCUGUCCCUUAAUUUAUAUUGUACAUUUUAAUUUUUUAAAAUAUUUUUGGUAUCUUUUUUAUCUGUGCAUCUUGGAUCUCUGUUGAUUUAGUUACUUAAUGCUUGUUAAUCAUAGUUUAAUCAUUGAACUAAUCAUAGUUCAAUCAAAAGAAUAAAAAAAAGUGUUAAAAUAUGAUAGUGAUGUUUUAUUUUCCAACGACAUUCCAACUGUAAAAAUUCGUUUUCAGGAAGAGAAAUUAAAAGUACAGAACUAGCAAGGACGAUAUCUUAAUUAGAUGGAUCAAUUAGCAUUAGCUAAUCUUGAUUCAUCAAAUUUGCAAUAAAAGGUUGCUGAUCACUGUUUAGACCUACCUAAGCCAAAGAUUUUGGUUUUGGAUACACCAGCUGUCAGUUUGGAUUUCCAAUUAUAUAAGGCAAAAUAUGCUGUUCCUUUUAUUUAGAUGAAUGAAAUAUUGACCAAAUAUAUGUUAGCUACUCUAAAUAUUCCAUAUUGAUACUAAUCUUACAUCUUAUUUAAUGAUGUGCAUGUAAAUCUGCAGCACAUUAAUACAUGCUUACUUCAUUAAGCAAAGACAUUAAUAUAUGCAGAAAAAUCAAUGCGUUAAAUGGAUAUUACAAACGAAUUCAUGUAAACAAUCCUCCUUUAACUGGCCACAAGCACUUCUGUGCAUGAAAGUAAAACAUAGAAAAACAGGGCUGGAAGACCUCCGGAAUUUGUGGGUGCUGCAUCGCUGAAGGUUUAUAAGAAGAGACUGGACCUCCAUUUUUCCAGAAUGGUAUAGGUCAGGUACCGGGCCACGGCAUGCCAGCAGCCGGUCCGCACAAACAAUCAAAGCUUCAUCCGUGGGAUGCAGGCAGCACACAAAACCACAAACUCUCCAGUCCGCGGAAGAACCUCUCUUCACAGAACCAGUCCAUGAUGCCCAAAAGGUUGGGGACCUCUGGUAUAGGAUCUCCUGCUUAAGCAGGGAGUUGGAGAUCCAGUCUCUUCUUAAAAAACUCCAGUGAUACAACACCCACAAAUUCUGGAGGCAAGCUGUUCCACUGAUUGUUCUCACUGUCAGGAAAUUUCUCCUUAGAUCUAGAUUGGAUGCCUCUUUAAUAACCUUUCCUCCAUUACUUCUUGUCCUGCCUUCAGGUGCUCCACUAAUAUUCCAUAAAUUUCUUCAAAGAAUUACUCCCAUAAUCACCAACACAACCUUAUUAAUUGUAACCACAACAAUUAAUCUCUGCCGUAAUAACUCAAUUUAUCUUCUAAUUAACCUGGCUACCCUUCUGAAACUUUUGCUUGA